GUAGGGAAUCUUGCGCAAUGGGCGAAAGCCUGACGCAGCCAUGCCGCGUGAAUGAUGAAGGUCUUAGGAUUGUAAAAUUCUUUCACCGGGGACGAUAAUGACGGUACCCGGAGAAGAAGCCCCGGCUAACUUCGUGCCAGCAGCCGCGGUAAUACGAAGGGGGCUAGCGUUGCUCGGAAUUACUGGGCGUAAAGGGCGCGUAGGCGGACAGCUUAGUCAGAGGUGAAAGCCCAGGGCUCAACCUUGGAAUUGCCUUUGAUACUGGCUGUCUUGAGUUUGGGAGAGGUGAGUGGAACUCCGAGUGUAGAGGUGAAAUUCGUAGAUAUUCGGAAGAACACCAGUGGCGAAGGCGACUCACUGGCCCAAUACUGACGCUGAGUCGCGAAAGCGUGGGGAGCAAACAGGAUUAGAUACCCUAGUAGUCC
rnacentral:rRNA from 1 species